AUGACCUGGGCUCCUCUCCUCCUCACCCUCCUUGUUCACUACACAGUGUCUGUGGCCCAGGCAGGGCUGACUCAGCUGCCCUCAGUGUCCAAGGCCUUGGGACAGAUGGUCACACUGACCUGUACUGGGAACAGCAACAAUGUUGGCAACCAAGGAGCAGCUUGGCUUCAGCAGCACCCAGGCCAUGUCCCCAAACUCCUGAUGCAUAGGAAUAACAACCGGCCCUCUGGGAUCUCAGAGAGAUUUUCUGGCUCCAGGUCAGGGAGCAUGGCCUCCCUGACUAUCUCUGGGCUGCAGCCUGAGGACGAGGCUGACUAUUACUGCAUAGCAUGGGACAGCAGCCUAAAUGGCCAUCUGAUAUUUGAAGGUGAGUUAGAAGGUUCCCAGGAAACUAUUUUGACCUCAUGCCUUUCUGUGGAAUUGUUCCAUACUAACAGUCUCUGUUAUUUCCCUAAGGAAAGUGGGGAACAACAGCCCCUGGGAUCUGACCUGCCGGGGUAUGCCCAGCAGAACUGUGCAGCAGUAGGGGCUCAUUGUCUGACCACAGAUUCUGGAACAGGACCCAAGUUGAUUUAA